CCAGACUUGGUAAUAACCAUUUCAGUCCCGAGUUUAUGAAACUGGUCCCAAAGAUCCUUGGCUUCCAGCGUUACUUUGGGGUCGUCAUCCACUUCCUCCUCGGGCUCCAGGCUCUUCAUGCUGCGGAGAUGAGCCGCCUGAUGGUGGCUGAGGGCCGGGUGCAGCCCAGCCUCCGCCGCUCCGGCCAGGCCGUGCUCCGGGAUGGGCUUGGUGAGCGCCCCGGGAGGAAGGCUGAGCGCAGGGAAGAAGGAGGGCUGCGCCGCCGCCAGGAAGGCGGACAUGGGGAAGUCGGUCGGCCGGUGUGGGUGGAAAGGGUGAUAAGCCAUUGCAGUCCCUGUAAAAACUGGAUCUCUCAUCGGUGCAUCCACAAAAAAGCGAAGUGAAACAACGAUGGAUGAUUGAGUGUCUCUCCGCGCAGACCAGCAGCCAGCGCAGCUCUGCGCUCCGACCGCAGAUUAUUUCUUCCAGGCGGCGCAGACGCCCGCAGCCGCUCGCCCAAACAGUCUCGGUGUUUUAGCGCAGAAAACAGCCCAGAAUUGUUGCCGGUGCCUUUUCCCCCCUCGAUGCCUCGGCUGCGUCCCUCGGUGUCGGCGGCGCUGUGGCGGCUCAGCCCGGCUGCACUAAGUCCGUCCUGCUCCGGUCAUUCCAGCCUGACUGAGGAGAUGUGGCCCCGUUCACUGCUGAUCUGUUACUAUCUCACAUGUCUUUCCUGCCUCCAUCCUCAGCACUAAUGAACCAAGCCCCUUUGAUUGCUGAUUUUACGCUUUCUGGACCAAUUGUGGGCCCCUAUAGGCGUGGUUCUGACAGCUCCGGCCAGACUCUAGGAGAGCAGAGGAGGAGGGGUGGAGAGGCAAGAAGGUGUCGGAAGCAUUAGCAGUAAGAAAACAUGUCAACAGAAUAAAAUAUUAACCAAUGACAGGAAAGAUCGGGAAAUCCCACCCCCAUUCCCAAGCCAAGCAGCGGGUCAGCCUCAGUGCCUGGCCGGUGGAGGCAUCACCUCUCUCGGUUUGCUUUUUUGCAAUGUCGCCUCCGGAAGAAGGGGCAACCUGUCUGCAGACGUAGUGUCUAAAUACUCACCUUUAUUCGGGGGAACAGCUCCACGGCUUCAGUCCGUGUUUAGAACAGGAAAUCCUCUCUGCACAUCAGCCCCGCUGCAGGCGGCUGAUCGUGGCGCGCAGAGCGGAUCCGCUCCUCACCAUCCCCGGUCAGUCCGAGGGGAGAGCCUCUCCGCCCGGCUGUAUUUCCUGGUCAGGCGGCGGCAGCAGCAGCAGCGGAGCUCUGAGGCUGAAGAGGCGCAAAAAAAAAAAAAAAAAAAAAAAAAAGAGGAAACGAAAUGAUUCACGAUGAAUUUAGUCUGAGAAAAAAGAAAGCGCGUCGCUGAUGUUUCCUCCUGCAGCGCUUCUACUUCCACAUCAGGAGGCGCAGCGAUGAUUUAGCGCAGAGUGGAGCUGAGAGCGGGCCGAGGCAGCGCGGGUCUCUGGAUGGGGGGGGUCUGGUCAAACGGUGCGGACCGUGCGGGGCUCCCGCACGCACAGGCCUCCAGACGCAGCCUGGGCUGCUGCUUGAACCCGCCUCAGUCAGCCAGAGAGGCGGCCGGCGCCAGUCUGCUGAUGCGCCGCAUCCACAACAAUCUCCUGUCUCUUAGUGUUUAGCCUGAAGCGCUGCAUGUGCGGGCCCCCCCCCCGGCCCCCGGGCCCCCUCUGCCGCCUCAUCUGCGGCUCCGCUCCACUUCUUCGCCUCGCUGUCAGAUGUGAGCUCAGUCUUUUUUCCGUUGUUUUCGGUGAAGCAGCUGCUCUGCUGGAGUCACUUAGAAAACAAAAACAGAAACAAAAAGUGAUCAUCCUCUGAAUAAGACAGACACGCAUUUCCUAUCGAGCUGCUUCCGCUGCGAGCCGCUAAAAAUACCACGACUGGCUCCUAAAGAGCUCUGAAUAUUAUUAAUAAAUCUAAAGUUUAUAUUUACACCAGGUUGGUCUAUUAUAUUCUAAUGCAUUUUCAUUGUUUUAUUCGCUUUAUUCCAGCAAAAUUUACAAAAACAAAA